GUCCAGACUCCUACGGGAGGCAGCAGUGGGGAAUAUUGGGCAAUGGACGCAAGUCUGACCCAGCAACGCCGCGUGAAGGAAGAAGGCUUUCGGGUUGUAAACUUCUUUUAAGGGGGAAGAGCAGAAGACGGUACCCCUUGAAUAAGCCACGGCUAACUACGUGCCAGCAGCCGCGGUAAUACGUAGGGGGCAAUCGUUAUCCGGAUUUACUGGGUGUAAAGGGAGCGUAGACGGCAGUGCAAGUCCGGAGUGAAAGCCCGGGGCUCAACCCCGGGACUGCUCUGGAAACUGUAAAGCUGGAGUGCGGGAGGGGCAGGCGGAAUUCCUGGUGUAGCGGUGAAAUGCGUAGAUAUCAGGAGGAACACCGGCGGCGAAGGCGGCCUGCUGGACCGUAACUGACGUUGAGGCUCGAAAGCGUGGGGAGCAAACAGGAUUAGAUACCCGCGUA
rnacentral:rRNA from 1 species